rnacentral:rRNA from 1 species
ACCCGCUGAACUUAAGCAUAUCAAUAAGCGGAGGAAAAGAAACUAACAAGGAUUCCCCUAGUAACUGCGAGUGAAGAGGGAAAAGCUCAAAUUUAAAAUCUGGCAGUCUCCGAUUGUCCGAGUUGUAAUUUAGAGAAGUGUUACCCGUGUUGGACCGUGUACAAGUUUCCUGGAAUGGAACGUCAUAGAGGGUGAGAAUCCCGUCUUUGACACGGAUCCCAAUGCAUUGUGGUAUGCUCUCGAAGAGUCGAGUUGUUUGGGAAUGCAGCUCUAAAUGGGUGGUAAAUUCCAUCUAAAGCUAAAUAUUGGGGAGAGACCGAUAGCGAACAAGUACCGUGAGGGAAAGAUGAAAAGAACUUUGGAAAGAGAGUUAAACAGUACGUGAAAUUGCUAAAAGGGAAACGCUUGAAGUCAGUCGCGUUGGCCAGGGAUCAGCCUUCCUUUUGGUUGGUGUACUUCCUGGUUGAUGGGUCAACAUCAGUUUUGACCGGUGGAUAAGAGUGGGAGGAAUGUGGCAUCUUCGGGUGUGUUAUAGCCUCUUAUUGUAUACAUCGGUUGGGACUGAGGAACUCAGCACGCCGCAAGGCCGGGUUUUUAACCACGUUCGUGCUUAGGAUGUUGGCAUAAUGGCUUUAAUCGACCCGUCUUGAAACACGGACCAAGGAGUCUAACAUGCCUGCGAGUGUUUGGGUGGAAUCACUAGUGAAUUC